UAUGCUCAAUCUCUACUGCUUUGCUGCGGUUGAGAUUGGACUUGGAGGCUUGCAGGCAGAUUUAGUUCUGUCUGCUCCUCUGAAAUGCAUUAGUUUGGACUGUCUCCGAGCAUGCUUCAGCGUGAUAAUUGUCUGCGCUGCUGCACUUGGUACAAAAAUGUCCCUGCUUACAACCGUCCCUUUGUGGACAACCUUUACAC
rnacentral:misc_RNA from 1 species